UACGUAGGUGGCAAGCGUUGUCCGGAUUUACUGGGCGUAAAGAGCGCGCAGGCGGUCGGAUUAGUCGCGUGUGAAAGCCCCCGGCUCAACUGGGGAGGGUCACGCGAUACUGUUCGACUCGAAGGCAGGAGAGGGAAGUGGAAUUCCCGGUGUAGUGGUGAAAUGCGUAGAUAUCGGGAGGAACACCGAUGGCGAAGGCAAUCCCCUGGGCCUGCACUGACGCUCAUGCACGAAAGCGUGGGGAGCAAACAGG
rnacentral:rRNA from 1 species